UCUAGGGGGCGGCUUACGUAGGGCAGGUGGAGGGGGGCGAGCUAGAUUUCUGGGCUCCCUUGUGGAUUGGCUGAUGCCUUCGCUGGGCUCUGGGAGGUAGGGGCAACCCCCAGCUGUCUGGUGCCUGGCCCCAGGGCAGUCAGGACGGGGGUCUAGUGUGACCAUCUUUAUCAGGGAAGUGCUAAAGUGUGAACUUCAUUAGCUAUUUGAGAAGGGAAAAUGGCUGGGUUCUAGGCAGGGGCCAACAUGGGGUGGAGAGAGCGCAGUCAAAAGUAUUGCAGGUGUAAGGAGGAAACGAAUUCAUGUCAUAAGGUGCUCAGAAGAGUCCCCAGAAGAAGGCAAAGGUUCGGAAGAAAAGGUGGUGGCACAUUGUGUGUCCUGAUUCAUCAGCCAACAGCAUCUUCUUGGGCCGCUACAAAGAAUACUAUAACC
rnacentral:lncRNA from 1 species